GACGAACGCUGGCGGCGUGCUUAACACAUGCAAGUCGAACGGAAAGGCCCUGCUUUUGUGGGGUGCUCGAGUGGCGAACGGGUGAGUAACGCGUGAGUAACCUGCCCUUGACUUUGGGAUAACUUCAGGAAACUGGGGCUAAUACCGGAUAGGAGCUCCUGCUGCAUGGUGGGGGUUGGAAAGUUUCGGCGGUUGGGGAUGGACUCGCGGCUUAUCAGCUUGUUGGUGGGGUAGUGGCUUACCAAGGCUUUGACGGGUAGCCGGCCUGAGAGGGUGACCGGCCACAUUGGGACUGAGAGACGGCCCAGACUCCUACGGGAGGCAGCAGUGGGGAAUAUUGCACAAUGGGCGGAAGCCUGAUGCAGCAACGCCGCGUGCGGGAUGACGGCCUUCGGGUUGUAAACCGCUUUCGCCUGUGACGAAGCGUGAGUGACGGUAAUGGGUAAAGAAGCACCGGCUAACUACGUG
rnacentral:rRNA from 1 species